CCGGUAUUGAUGUUCUCCCUCUCCACUUGCAGAAAUGAAAACUGUGGUGGAAAAAAAGUCAACUGAUUCCAAUUUCGUUUCCAUUGACUGUUACAACAUUCUUUUGCACCUAUUUUAUGGACUCUUUAUGGAUCAAUGAAAAAAGACCCCUAUAUCAUAAUUCCUAAUUUCCUCGGUUUGUUGACUAGCUUACCUAGGUUUUACUUAUUUUCCAAAUAUAAAAAGAAGAGGAUUGUUGGACUUCCUGCAGAUGUUUACUGAUAGUUAUGUUCGCCUAAAUUUACACAAGCAUGUCUCUUAUUUUAUUGGUGCAAUAGAAUUUAUAUGUAGUUUUUUUUAUAUGUUUUACUUUAUUAUAAGUGCUGGUGCGAAUUUGUAUGCAGAUAAUAUUUUUAAAAUACUGCAGUGUACCUGGUAAAUUUGCUUAUGUGAGCUGCUGUAGACCGUUUCUUUUCCGUAGGACUGCAGUGUCAGAGUUUGGCAUGUUUACGAUGGAGCAGGAGUCUUAUUUAACUCCCCAAAGUCUAAAUGCUGAUCAUAGAGCUCAAAACAGAAUCAAACUGUACAUAGCGUUCUUAGCAGUCAGAGACGGCUUGCAGUUUUGCUGGAGUUUUCAUUUCCAGUGUUGACUUUAUCUGCACUGAAGUCUGAGUCAAAUUUUUUUACAAUCCCCAUAUCAAAAAGUUUGUUUUUCAAUGCGGAGUCAGAGGCCACAGUCCUGCUUUAUGAUGGGGUUGAACAAAAAUUUAAGUAGAAAAGUAGUUAUGCUGUUUAUGUUCAACACCAUUUCUAUAUGCGCUUUUUCACAGCAGUCAUUUCUAUCAAAACUGCUGUUUUUUUAUUUUGUAGUAGAGCAUUUUCAAAUUUUUUUAAUACAUUCAAGUUUGUAAAAUUAUGACAUAUAUAUGGAUGCAACUAAGUAUAUUGUAAAUCCGUCCGUAGUUGUAAUUAUAGUUGAAUAAAUAAAACGAAGUAAAA